AUUGAGAAGUUAGUCCAAUGAAUGGGAUGGGAGCCCUUCAAAGUCACAUAUACAAGCGAUUUAUGUUCAAGCUUUAUACGAGCAGGCAAUUGAGUUAAUCGGAAAGGGGAUAGCCUAUGUGGAUCAUCAGGAGUUCUUUCAAUUCUCCUAUGCUUGGGAUCUGUUUGAUUGAUGGACCUUAAAGCUCAUGCGAUAAUGCAUGAACUUGU